UAGUGUUCUAAUAACUAAGACAAGAGGUUAUGUGAUAAUGUUCUAAUACCUAGGACAAGUCCAUUAUGUCAUAGUGUUCUAAUAACUAAGACAAGAGGUUAUGUGAUAAUGUUCUAAUACCUAGGACAAGUCCAUUAUGUCAUAGUGUUCUAAUAACUAAGACAAGAGGUUAUGUGAUAAUGUUCUAAUACCUAGGACAAGUCCAUUAUGUUAUAGUGUUCUAAUACCUAGGACAAGUCCAUUAUGUCAUAGUGUUCUAAUAACUAAGACAAGAGGUUAUGUGAUAAUGUUCUAAUACCUAGGACAAGUCCAUUAUGUCAUAGUGUUCUAAUAACUAAGACAAGAGGUUACGUGAUAAUGUUCUAAUACCUAGGACAAGUCCAUUAUGUCAUAGUGUUCUAAUACCUAGGACAAGUCCAUUAUGUUAUAGUGUUCUAAUAACUAAGACAAGAGGUUACGUGAUAAUGUUCUAAU